AGGACGAACGCUGGCGGCGUGCUUAACGACAUGCAAGUCGAGCGAGGCCCUUCCUUCGGGAAGGUGCCCUAGCGGCGAACGGGUGAGUAACACGUGGGCAACCUGCCCCUAGCACUGGGAUAACUCCGGGAAACCGGGGCUAAUACCGGAUACGACCUCUCUGGGCAUCCUCAGAGGUGGAAAGGAUUCUGGCUAGGGAUGGGCCCGCGGCCUAUCAGCUUGUUGGUGGGGUAAAGGCCUACCAAGGCGACGACGGGUAGCCGGCCUGAGAGGGCGACCGGCCACACUGGGACUGAGACACGGCCCAGACUCCUACGGGAGGCAGCAGUGGGGAAUCUUGCACAAUGGGCGAAAGCCUGAUGCAGCGACGCCGCGUGAGGGAUGACGGCCUUCGGGUUGUAAACCUCUUUCAGCAGGGCGAAGCGAAGUGACGGUACCUGCAGAAGAAGCACCGGCAACUACGCGCCAGCAGCCGC
rnacentral:rRNA from 1 species